GACAGAGGGUGCAAACGUUGUUCGGAAUUACUGGGCGUAAAGCGCGUGUAGGCGGCCAUGCAAGUCGGAUGUGAAAGCCCUCGGCUCAACCGGGGAAGUGCACUCGAAACUGCAAGGCUAGAGUCUCGGAGAGGAUCGUGGAAUUCUCGGUGUAGAGGUGAAAUUCGUAGAUAUCGAGAGGAACACCGGUGGCGAAGGCGGCGAUCUGGACGAUGACUGACGCUGAGACGCGAAAGCGUGGGGGAGCAAACAGG
rnacentral:rRNA from 1 species